GGAAAACCAUGUCCGAACAUAUAAUUUUUCCCCUGUAAUAUAGCAAAGAUCAAGAAAAAGCCAAAAAAGUAUAUUUAGGUCAAAAUUUGGAGUAGAAAAAAAAACAAUAGAAGAAUUCCAUUUUCCUUCCUCAGUCAUCGGAGAGCUCUCUUUGGGCUUUCCGAAAAGGUAUCAAAUGCCAAGUUUGGCCUCACGGUCUAAAAGUUAUAGAGUCAUACAUUUUUAACAAUACAAAGUAGAGAAAACCGGAAAAAAGAGGGAUGCAACAUGAGGACUUUCCGGGAGGUAAUCCAUCCUAGUACAACUCUUGCCCAAGCACCCUUAACUGCGGAGUUCUGAUGGAAUCCGGUGCAUUAGUGCUGGUAUGAUCGCAUGUGUUACUACAUGCAAUGUAAUCGUAUCUAUUCUUUUUUAAAGACUUUAUGAUCCAUUUGCCGUGGGUCCCACCAGCUAUGUAGGAAUACCCUAUCUUCUUUAUAAGAGCUUUGAUACAUGCAAAAUAUAUGAAAAAACGUUCGAACAUAUAAUUUUUCCCCCCGUAAUAUAGCAAAGAUCACGAAAAGGCCCGAAAAAGUACAUUUAGUUCAAAAUUUGGAGUAGAAAAACCCAAUAGAAGAAUUCCAUUUUCCUUCGUCAUUCAUCGGAGAGCUCUCUUUGGGCUUUCCGAAAAGGUAUCACAUGCCAAGUUUGGCCUCACGGUCUAAACGUUAUAGAGUCAUACAUUUUUAACAAAACAAAAUUGAGAAAAACCGAAAAAAAGAGGGAUGCAACACGAGGACUCUCCAGAAGGUAACCCAUCUUAGUACUACUUUCGCCCAAGCACCCUUAACUGCGGAGUUCUGAUAGGACCCGGUGCAUUAGUGCUGGUAUGAUCGCAUGUGUUACUACAUGCAAUGUAAUCGUAUAUAUUCA
rnacentral:sRNA from 1 species